CCUACGGGAGGCAGCAGUAGGGAAUAUUGGGCAAUGGGCGAAAGCCUGACCCAGCGACGCCGCGUGAGGGAUGAAGGUCUUCGGAUUGUAAACCUCUUUCAGUAGGGAAGAAGCGAAAGUGACGGUACCUAAAGAAGAAGCACCGGCUAACUAUGUGCCAGCAGCCGCGGUAAUACAUAGGGUGCAAGCGUUGUCCGGAAUUAUUGGGCGUAAAGAGCUCGUAGGUCGUUUGUCGCGUCGAUUGCGAAAAUCUGAGGCUCAACCUCAGACCUGCAGUCGAUACGGGCAAACUAGAGUGUGGUAGGGGAGACUGGAAUUCCUGGUGUAGCGGUGGAAUGCGCAGAUAUCAGGAGGAACACCAAUGGCGAAGGCAGGUCUCUGGGCCAUAACUGACACUGAGGAGCGAAAGUGCGGGGAGCGAACAGGAUUAGAUACCCUGGUAGUCCGCACCGUAAACGGUGGGCACUAGUUGUGGGGACCUUCCACGGUUUCCGCGACGCAGCAAACGCAUUAAGUGCCCCGCCUGGGGAGUACGAUCGCAAGAUUAAAACUCAAAUGAAUUGACGG
rnacentral:rRNA from 1 species